CAGGAAAACUGAGCCAGUUGCACUUCAGUGCCCUUGAAGAGGGUUGUAAGGAAGCAAGGCAGAAUGAGCUCACCUUGCCAGUGGACAAGAGAGACCAUGAAAAAACCACAGUGGAAUUAGGUAUUAGCCAUAUUAGCACAGAAGUUAUUCCCCAUUGCUGCAAUCACCACCUUUGAAGAAACUCCCCGUUUUCCAUUCCUUCUCCUCUGAGCUGUGAAGAGGAGCUCACAGCUCCAGAGUGGCCAGACAUCUGCAUGUGGUUAUCUUCACUGUAGUCUGUAAGAAUGCCCAAGAAGUCAUGUCACUGACGUGCACCUGGAAGUACUGCAGCAUUGACAGAGAAGUGGAAGAAUUUGAAAGCAAAUGAGAAAGACUGG